rnacentral:rRNA from 1 species
AGGAUAAACGCUGGCGGCGUGCCUAACACAUGCAAGUCGAACGCCUUACGCAAGUAAGGAGUGGCGGACGGGUGAGGAACACGUGGGGAUCUGCCCAAAGGUGAGGAAUACCGGCGAGAAAUCGCCGACAAAUACCGCAUAGCCUUGUUUCGGCAAGGAAAGUCGCAAGACGCCUAUGGAUGAACCUGCGUCCGAUUAGUUUGUUGGUGGGGUAAUGGCCUACCAAGACAACGAUCGGUAGCUGGUCUGAGAGGACGAUCAGCCACACUGGGAUUGAGAACGGCCCAGACUCCUACGGGGGGCAGCAGUGAGGAAUUUUCGUCAAUGGGGGCAACCCUGAACGAGCAACGCCGCGUGCAGGAAGAAGGUUUUCGGAUCGUAAACUGCUUUUCUGUGGGAAGAGAACGGACGGUACCACAGGAAGAAGCCCCGGCUAACUACGUGCCAGCAGCCGC